AUGAGAGGCCAGCUCCGGUGGCUGUGCAGGGAAGAGCAGCCCUCGACAGCCUGGCUCACUACCUGCACUGUGCCUGUGUACACAGCGGGAGUGUUCAACACCUUCUUGGUUUCUCUGACUGUAGUGCCACUUAGAAAUCAUCCGGAGAAACAGAGCGAAACAGAGAGAGGGAGAAUGAGCAGUGUUACACACCUCACUCUCUGGCCCAACCAAGGUGCUACCACAGAGGACAGGAAUACCUGUGGGACAGGCCUGGUAUCCUGUCGUGGUCCACACCGCCUGCUGCCAUCCAGCAGCCAUUGUGUUCCUCCUGUGCUGUGCUGUAGUACUGAAAGAAGUGAAGGGUUUUACCAAGGCUGCAGUGCUGAGCCUGCUCCCUACAGGCAACUGAGGGCCAAACACAGCUGUAUGGGAGAGGAGGUGAGAGGGCAGCAUGGGCCAGAAAGGCCUGCACUGUGCCUGCUCCAUUGCCAUGGCAUGACUUCAUGCUGCUGCUCUGUCACGCUGCAGGUGAAAUACUGCUGCUCUGUUUGGGAAGAGCUUGCAUUUUCCCCAUCCCCUGGGAAGGUCCCAUCCCGCAAUGGACUGGUGAUCCUGCCCCAGCAGUCACCUCCUGCUGCAGCAUUUCAUCCCCAGGGCCCUGAGGACACUGAGGGCAGUGAAUGCCACACUGUCUCACAUGUCCCGGGACAUCACAUUGGACAUCAAAGCCAGCCCUGGUUUGUCUCCUCAAGCUGCUGCAAUAGCAAGGCACCCUGGAAACCAUGCACCCCAACUCUGCUCUACAUGUGCAUCAGCUGCAUCAUCAGCCUGUUCCUCUGGGAACAAAACCCUGGCAGCAAAACAGCCACUCUGCUCAAAUGUGUCAAAGCAUAUUUGCCUGUCAAGGCAUAUUCCUCUUUCCCCCAAAAGAUGGCACUAGGAUUCACCAAAAGUGAGACACUCGGCACCCUAAACAUUUUAAUGUCUGUGAAAAAUGCUAGAGGCCCUCCACUGCAGUGCCCAUGUCUUUGCCCUUUAACCAAGUGA
rnacentral:lncRNA from 1 species